GAGAGUAUAGCUCAGCAGCAGAUCGCAUGCUUAGCACGCAUGAGGCCCUGGGUUCAAUUCCCGGUACCUCCA
rnacentral:tRNA from 1 species